CGUACACUCCUACGGGAGGCAGCAGUGGGGAAUAUUGGACAAUGGGCGCAAGCCUGAUCCAACCAUGCCGCGUGAGUGAUGAAGGCCCUAGGGUUGUAAAGCUCUUUCACCGGUGAAGAUAAUGACGGUAACCGGAGAAGAAGCCCCGGCUAACUUCGUGCCAGCAGCCGCGGUAAUACGAAGGGGGCUAGCGUUGUUCGGAUUUACUGGGCGUAAAGCGCACGUAGGCGGACUAUUAAGUCAGGGGUGAAAUCCCGGGGCUCAACCCCGGAACUGCCUUUGAUACUGGUAGUCUUGAGUUCGAGAGAGGUGAGUGGAAUUCCGAGUGUAGAGGUGAAAUUCGUAGAUAUUCGGAGGAACACCAGUGGCGAAGGCGGCUCACUGGCUCGAUACUGACGCUGAGGUGCGAAAGCGUGGGGAGCAAACAGGAUUAGAAACCCGAGUAGUCCCAUGAU
rnacentral:rRNA from 1 species